CACAGACAACCAGGAUGUUGGCUUAGAAGCAGCCACUCAUUCAAAGAGUGCGUAAUAGCUCACUGGUCGAGUGAUCCUGCGCCGAAGAUUUCCGGGGCUAAAACUUACUACCGAAGCUACGGCAUCAGUAAUGAUGGGUAGGGGAGCUUCCCAUACGGGUUGAAGCAUGACCGUAAGGACAUGUGGACAGUAUGGGAGGGAGAAUGUUGGCAUGAGUAGCGAGAUGUGGGUGGGAAUCCCACAGGCCGUAAACCCAAGGUUUCCAGGGGAAGGUUCGUCCGCCCUGGGUUAGUCGGGACCUAAGCUGAGGCCGAAAGGCGUAGGUGAUGGACAACAGGUUGAUAUUCCUGUACUACCGAUAACCAUUUGAGAGAUGGGAUGACACAGUAGGAUAAGCUAAGCACACUGUUGGUUAUGUGUGCCCAAGCAUUGAGGCAGUCAAAGUAGGCAAAUCCGCUUUGAUAAUGCUGGGAUGUGAUGGGGAGCGAAAUUUAGUAGCGAA
rnacentral:rRNA from 1 species